rnacentral:rRNA from 1 species
UAAGAGCGAAUGGUGGAUGCCUUGACUGGUAAAGGCGAUGAAGGACGUACUAGACUGCGAUAAGCUACGGGGAGCUGUCAAGAAGCUUUGAUCCGUAGAUUUCCGAAUGGGGCAACCCAAUGUAUAGAGAUAUACAUUACCUAUAUAGGAGCGAACGAGGGGAAUUGAAACAUCUUAGUACCCUCAGGAAAAGAAAUCAAUAGAGAUUGCGUCAGUAGCGGCGAGCGAAAGCGCAAGAGGGCAAACCCAGUGCUUGCACUGGGGGUUGUAGGACUGCAAUGUGCAAGAGGUAAGUUUAGCAGAACAUUCUGGAAAGUAUAACCAUAGAGGGUGAUAGUCCCGUAUGCGAAAAACAAACCUUAGCUAGCAGUAUCCUGAGUAGGGCGGGACACGAGGAAUCCUGUCUGAAUCCGGGUCGACCACGAUCCAACCCUAAAUACUAAUACCAGAUCGAUAGUGCACAAGUACCGUGAGGGAAAGGUGAAAAGAACUGAGGUGAUCAGAGUGAAAUAGAACCUGAAACCAUUUGCUUACAAUCAUUCAGAGCCCUAUGUAGCAAUACAGGGUGAUGGACUGCCUUUUGCAUAAUGAGCCUGCGAGUUGUGGUGUCUGGCAAGGUUAAGCAAACGCGAAGCCGUAGCGAAAGCGAGUCUGAAUAGGGCGCUUAGUCAGAUGCUGCAGACCCGAAACGAAGUGAUCUAUCCAUGAGCAAGUUGAAGCUAGUGUAAGAACUAGUGGAGGACUGAACCCAUAGGCGUUGAAAAGCCCCGGGAUGACUUGUGGAUAGGGGUGAAAGGCCAAUCAAACUUCGUGAUAGCUGGUUCUCUCCGAAAUAUAUUUAGGUAUAGCGUUGUGUCGUAAUAUAAGGGGGUAGAGCACUGAAUGGGCUAGGGCAUACACCAAUGUACCAAACCCUAUCAAACUCCGAAUACCUUAUAUGUAAUCACAGCAGUCAGGCGGCGAGUGAUAAAAUCCGUCGUCAAGAGGGAAACAACCCAGACUACCAGCUAAGGUCCCUAAAUCUUACUUAAGUGGAAAACGAUGUGAAGUUACUUAAACAACCAGGAGGUUGGCUUAGAAGCAGCCAUCCUUUAAAGAAAGCGUAAUAGCUCACUGGUCUAGUGAUUUUGCGCGGAAAAUAUAACGGGGCUAAAGUAAGUAC